GUGGGGAAUAUUGGGCAAUGGGCGAAAGCCUGACCCAGCAACGCCGCGUGAAGGAAGAAGGUUUUCGGAUCGUAAACUUCUAUCCUUGGUGAAGAUAAUGACGGUAGCCGAGAAGGAAGCCCCGGCUAACUACGUGCCAGCAGCCGCGGUAAUACGUAGGGGGCAAGCGUUGUCCGGAAUGAUUGGGCGUAAAGGGCGCGUAGGCGGCCUGGUAAGUCUGGAGUGAAAGUCCUGCUUUUAAGGUGGGAAUUGCUUUGGAUACUGUCGGGCUUGAGUGCAGGAGAGGUAAGUGGAAUUCCCGGUGUAGCGGUGAAAUGCGUAGAGAUCGGGAGGAACACCAGUGGCGAAGGCGACUUACUGGACUGUAACUGACGCUGAGGCGCGAAAGUGUGGGGAGCAAACAGGAUUAGAAACCCGUGUAGUCC
rnacentral:rRNA from 1 species